rnacentral:ncRNA from 1 species
CGAUGCGGGAGAGUUCGGCUGCGGCCGACGCCGAAGGAGCAACACCCCGGAAACUCUCAGGCAAAUGGACCGUCUCGCGACA